CUUGAUAAACUUAUAGGAGGUCCAGCCUGCCCAGUGACUCUGUUCAACGGCCGCGGUAUCCUAACCGUGCGAAGGUAGCGUAAUCACUUGUUCUUUAAAUGAGGACUAGUAUGAAUGGCACCACGAAGGUUAUACUGUCUCCUUUUUCUAAUCAGUGAAACUAAUCUUCCCGUGAAGAAACGGGAAUAAAAAUAUAAGACGAGAAGACCCUAUGGAGCUUUAAACAAAUAUACACCUGCCUCUUCACCAAAAAUUUCAGAAGACAAGCAAUCACCCAGGCAUUUUGAUAUAGCGUUUUAGGUUGGGGUGACCGCGGAGCAAAAAACAACCCCCGCAACGAACGGGAAUAUUCCCUAAACCAAGGGCCACAACCCCAAGUAUUGAUAAAUCAACACUAAUUGACCCAAUAAAUUUGAUCAAUGAAC
rnacentral:rRNA from 1 species